rnacentral:rRNA from 1 species
CACCGGCGGCCCGAGUGGUGAUCGUUAUUAUUGGGUCUAAUGGGUCCGUAGCCGGUUUGGUCAGUCCUCCGGGAAAUCUGUCAGCUCAACUGAUAGGCUUUCGGGGGAUACUGCCAGACUUGGAACCGGGAGAGGUAAGAGGUACUACAGGGGUAGGAGUGAAAUCUUGUAAUCCCUGUGGGACCACCUGUGGCGAAGGCGUCUUACCAGAACGGGUUCGACGGUGAGGGACGAAAGCUGGGGGCACGAACCGGAUUAGAUACCCGGGUAGUCCCAGCCGUAAACGAUGCUCGCUAGGUGUCAUGCAUGGUGCGACCGUGUAUGGUGCCGUAGGGAAGCCGUGAAGCGAGCCACCUGGGAAGUACGGCCGCAAGGCUGAAACUUAAAGGAAUUGGCGGGGGAGCACAACAACGGGUGGAGCCUGCGGUUU